UCGAGAAUCUUCGGCAAUGAGCGAAAGCUUGACCGAGCGACGCCGCGUGCGGGAUGAAGGCCCUCGGGUUGUAAACCGCUGUCGUAGAGGAGGAAGGCUCUGUGCAGAGCAGGGUUUGACCUAUUCUAGGAGGAAGUCCGGGCUAAGUUCGUGCCAGCAGCCGCGGUAAGACGAACCGGACAAACGUUAUUCGGAAUCAUUGGGCUUAAAGGGUGCGUAGGCGGUGCUGUAAGUCGGGUGUGAAAUGCCUCAGCUCAACUGAGGAAGUGCGCCCGAUACUGCGGUGCUUGAGGGAGACAGAGGUAAGCGGAACUGAUGGUGGAGCGGUGAAAUGCGUUGAUAUCAUCAGGAACACCAGUGGCGAAAGCGGCUUACUGGGUCUCUUCUGACGCUGAGGCACGAAAGCUAGGGUAGCAAACG
rnacentral:rRNA from 1 species